rnacentral:misc_RNA from 1 species
GAAAAACGAUAGUUCUGUUUUUUUAAUGUUAAAAAGUUUGAGGUUUAUAACAUAUAAAAUGAUCCAAAGCAGUCAUAGGACUGACUGUAGGAGACUAAUGGAUGAUCUCAUUAUUAGGCAAACACACAUUUUGCAAGACAUCCAAAAUAUGAUUAUUGCAAACUGUUCUUCGCCGAUACAAAAGAUCAAUGUACUGCAAAUCUUAUAAAAGGGGGAAAAACUGCUUAAGCAAACAAUUUGAAUCAUUGCAGCUGAUAUUGCAACAUACUCUCUGCAAAUCAUCCAUAGUAUUAGUCUUCGUCUUCAUCAAAGUAACGGCGUUCAUUAGCUUGCCUAGAUUUCUCAAGCAAUUUGUCGAGAUCUUCAUUGCUCUUAGCUUCCCAUUUCACCAUCUGAUUGGCAGCCACCACACCAAGUCCCAUACCCAACAAAUGUUCCCAUGGAUGGCGCAUGUAAGGAAGUUUUCGAAGGGCAUUAGAGUACAUCUGGGUACCCAAUCCCAAAAGGGCUCCCACCAUUGUUGCACUCAACGGCAUCUUCUUCUUCUUCUUCGGCGGUGGAAGAAAUGGUCAGUCAGCAGCAGGCGAGGUGUAUAGGCUGAGAAAUUCCAC